GCUGAAGAGUUCUUCUGCUGGCUGUCAGAAGGCAUGAACUGCAUCCCUGCAAGUUCUCAGUGUGACUAUGUUAAAGACUGCCCCUGCGGGGAGGAUGAGGAGAGCUGCGGACCUUGCACUUUCGAGACUGGACCCUGUCAGUGGACUGAUGGCACUGUGGGGGGCAGUGGGUGGUGCCGACAGAGGGCAACAGGGCCCAUGGAACCAGACCACACCACAGGCUCAGGGUAUUACAUGAGUGUGAACACCAGCCAAGUCCUGUUCCCCAAUGAGGCUCGUCUUCUUAGCCCAAGUCUUCCACCCUCAUCUUCCUACUGCCAGAUGCGGUGAGUAACACACACCAUUGCAGAAGGCACAGAGGUCAGUCUUGAGCAUGGUAAUUACCCUGAACUUAAUAGUGUCAUUAUCCAGUUGUGUAAAUGGGUAAAUAGUUGUAAGUUGCUUUGCAGAAAAAGCAUUGACUAAAUGAAUAACAUAAAUAGACAAAGGUGUCAGGUAGUAAAUUAAUAAAUGUACUGUUUUCCUGAUGGUGGUGCGGUGGUGCAGCGGGUUUGGCCAGAUCCUGCUCUCUGGUGGGUCUGGGGUUCCAGUGUCGCUUGGGGUGCCUUGCGACAGACUGGCGUCCCGUCCUGGGUGUGUCCCCUCCCCCUCCAGCCUUUUGCCCUGUGUUGCCGGGUUAGGCUCUGGUUCGCCGUGACCCCGCUUGGGAAAAGCGGUUUCAGUCAAUGUGUACAGUGUUUCUGUGUUUUCCAGUCGAUCCUUCUAAAAAGUCCUGUUUUCUUCUACUAACAUGAUACAGUACCAUAAUAAUAUCCAUUUACUGUAGGAAUAGUACAAAUGCAUCAGCAGAAAUACCGCAUGGAACACCAGCGCAGGCGGCAAUGUUUCCAGGACCUUCCGCUCCCUCACCAUGGUUAUUAUUAAACAUCACUGGCGUGUCCCCCGCUUGCAGGUUUCACUUCCGGGUACGAGGAGGAGGACAGGGAGGCCUGAACAUUUUUCUGCAGGAAAGCAACGGUUCAGAAACAUUGCUGUGGUCCUACCACCACGGCAACCGCAAACACCAGUGGAAUGCAGAACUGCUCACCGUGGGGCAGAUAACGCAGCCAUACAGAGUUGUGUUCAGCAGUCCCUCUCUGGGGUCACCAGACUCCACCAGCGCUGUAGACAUCGACGACAUCUCCUUCCACAACUGUGAAGUGUCUCACUUGCCACCAGCUCUCGGCGCCCUCGGCUGCUCUUUCGAGGAACGCUCCUGCGACUGGGUCCAAGCAGCCAACGACGACCUGGACUGGGUGCGGUGGACCGGACCGUCCAGCACGGCCAACACCGGGCCCACGGAGGACCACACCAGCGGUUCGGGUCAGUGCAGAAUAAGCAAAGUAUUUUACUUCGUUUGUCAAAAAGUGAAGAACUGA
rnacentral:lncRNA from 1 species